rnacentral:rRNA from 1 species
CCUACGGGCGGCUGCAGUGAGGAAUAUUGGUCAAUGGGCGGAAGCCUGAACCAGCCAAGUAGCGUGCGGGAUGAAGGCCCUACGGGUCGUAAACCGCUUUUGUACGGGGAUAACACCCUCCACUUGUGGAGGUCUGCAGGUACCGUGCGAAUAAGGGCCGGCUAAUUCCGUGCCAGCAGCCGCGGUAAUACGGAGGGCCCGAGCGUUAUCCGGAUUCAUUGGGCUUAAAGGGAGCGUAGGUGGGUUGUUAAGUCAGUUGUGAAAGGUUGGGGCUCAACCGUAGAAGUGCAAUUGAUACCGGCAGCCUUGAGUAGAGGUGAGGUAGGCGGAAUGCGUGGUGUAGCGGUGAAAUGCUUAGAUAUCACGAAGAACUCCGAUUGCGAAGGCAGCCUACUAAACUGCCACUGACAUUGAUGCACGAAAGUGUGGGUAUCGAACAGGAUUAGAUACCCCAGUAGUC